AUUGAACGCUGGCGGCAUGCCUAACACAUGCAAGUCGAACGAGUGGCGGACGGGUGAGUAAUGUCUGGGAAACUGCCCGAUGGAGGGGGAUCACUCCUGGAAACGGUAGCUAAUACCGCAUACCAUCGGAUGUGCCCAGAUGGGAUUAGCUAGUAGGUGGGGUAACGGCUCACCUAGGCGACGAUCCCUAGCUGGUCUGAGAGGAUGACCAGCCACACUGGAACUGAGAAACGGUCCAGACUCCGACGGGAGGCAGCAGUGGGGAAUAUUGCACAAUGGGCGCAAGCCUGAUGCAGCCAGGCCGCGUGUAUGAAGAAGGCCUUCGGGUUGUAAAGUACUUUCAGCGAGGAGGCGUUACUCGCAGAAGAAGCACCGGCUAACUCCGUGCCAGCAGCCGCGGUAAGUC
rnacentral:rRNA from 1 species